GUUGCCUAGUGGUUAGAGCGUCUGUCUCGGAUCGGAUGCGGGAGGUCGUGGGUUCGAAUCCCGGCCGAGUCA